CCUACGCGUGGCUGCAGUGGGGGAUAUUGCACAAUGGGGGGAACCCUGAUGCAGCGACGCCGCGUGGGUGAAGAAGCGCCUCGGCGCGUAAAGCCCUGUCAGCAGGGAAGAAAAUGACGGUACCUGAAGAAGAAGCCCCGGCUAACUACGUGCCAGCAGACGCGGUAAUACGUAGGGGGCAAGCGUUAUCCGGAUAUACUGGGUGGAAAGGGGGCGCAGACGGCGAUGCAAGCCAGGAGUGAAAGGCCGGGGCCCAACCCCCGGACUGCUCUUGGAACUGCGGGGCUGGAGUGCAGGAGGGGCAGGCGGAAUUCCUGGUGUAGCGGUGAAAUGCGUAGAUAUCAGGAGGAACACCGGUGGCGAAGGCGGCCUGCUGGACUGCAACUGACGUUGAGGCCCGAAAGCGUGGGGAGCAAACAGGAUUAGAUACCCGUGUAGUC
rnacentral:rRNA from 1 species